rnacentral:rRNA from 1 species
GCCCUUUAUCGGGGAUAACUUGCCGAAAGGUGAGCUAAUACCGGAUGUCCUAUCUGGACACAAGUCUAAGAUAGCAAAGGUGGCCUCUUAACAAUGCUGCCGUAAAAGGAUGGACCCGCGUCUGAUUAGCUAGUUGGUGAGGUAAUGGCUCACCAAGGCGACGAUCAGUAGCCGGCCUGAGAGGGUGAACGGCCACACUGGGACUGAGACACGGCCCAGACUCCUACGGGAGGCAGCAGUGGGGAAUCUUCCGCAAUGGACGAAAGUCUGACGGAGCAACGCCGCGUGAGUGAUGAAGGUCUUCGGAUUGUAAAACUCUGUUUUUUGGGACGAACGGCUCAUAUGUAAACAAUGUAUGAGAUUGACGGUACCAAAGGAGGAAGCCCCGGCUAACUACGUGCCAGCAGCCGCGGUAAUACGUAGGGGGCAAGCGUUGUCCGGAAUUAUUGGGCGUAAAGAGCGCGCAGGCGGUAUGUUAAGUCUACCGUGAAAGCUUACGGCUCAACCGUAACAGGUCGGUGGAUACUGGCAUACUUGAGGGCAGGAGAGGAAAGUGGAAUUCCCAGUGUAGCGGUGAAAUGCGUAGAUAUUGGGAGGAACACCAGUGGCGAAGGCGACUUUCUGGACUGUUACUGACGCUGAGGCGCGAAAGCUGGGGGAGUGAACGGGAUUAGAUACCCCGGUAAUCCCAGCCGUAAACGAUGGGUACUAGGUGUAGGAGGUAUCGACCCCUUCUGUGCCGGAGUUAACGCAAUAAGU